AGGGCCGAGGGACUGAGAAGGCCCGAGCAGGGCCGGUUCCUAACAUAACGUUGGGAAGGUUGGCAACCAGAAAUGCAGAAGGCCCGCAGGAACCGCCCAUUGUCCUCCACCCAUUCAAUCCAGGUAUGGCUUGGCACUGGGGGCCUUUCCAAGGCCAUGAUACUGAGACUACUGGUGCAGGGUCCAUUCCUAACAUAGAGAGGUGAGAGACAGGAAACAGGAAUGCAGAAGACUGGCGGGAACUGGCCUUCCUCCUCGACGAAUUCGAUAGAGGUAUCGCUGGACACAGGGGGCCAUUCCAGAGUAGCGAAACUGAGACUACUGGUGCAGGGCCCAUUCCUAACAUAGAGCUGCGAAACACAGGAAACGGGAAUGCAGAAGGCCGAUGGGAACUGCCCUUUCCCCUCCGCCAAUUCAAUACAGAAUUCUGUUAUAGACCAACAUUUGAGAAUGCCAGAACACAGAGUCGUGGCAAACGGUUUAAGGUCAAUGACCAUCUGGAGUAUGACUGUAACCCUGGAUUUGAAAACAAACAUGGAAACACCUCAGGGACCAUAGUAUGUGGUGACGGUGGCUGGUCUGAUACACCAACAUGUUUUGAUCCUAAAGAAAAAUGUGGACUUCCUCCAGCCAUUGACAAUGGAGACAUAACCACAAUGCCUUUAAAAGAAUAUGCUCCAGGAUCAUUAGUUAAGUACCAAUGUCAGUCCUACUACAAACGAUGGGGCAAUAGUACCAUAAUAUGUAAUAAAGGAAAGUGGACAAUACCAACAGAAUGUUUAGAUCCUUGUGUAAUAUCAAAAGACAUCAUGGAUAAAUAUAAUAUACAAAUACAAGAGAGAAGAGGAAAAGAG